AGAAGGUUCACUUAAAAAUAAUCGACGUGCGCACACUUCUCUCUUUAAUUCUUUGAUUUAUCAACAGCCGAUUAUUUUGCUGUCGUUGUGGUUUUUGGCGACAUUUUGUUUUAAUGUGUUUUAAAGACUUCAGAAAACGAUUUAACGUGAUUUUUUGGAUGUUUUUGUGAUCAAACAUCUCUACUUUUAUAUGGAUCUUUUAUUUGAAUCUAGUGUAUAGUGUGAAUGACAGUGUUUUAAUGAAGGAUGAAUCAACUUAAGGCAAAUUAAGAUAUUAAUAUAAUCAUAUUACACCAAGAAGGAUCACACAAACUUAGGAGAUGAAGACCGUCCUUGGAGAUGAUAACGGUUCUUGGGAUGUAAUUGAAAAUCCCAUGAAGACGAGUUAAAUAUAAUGUGCAGUAAUUAAUAGGUAUAUCAUAAUAAUAAAUAAAUUUAUUGUAGUUGCGAAGCUAGUAUUUUGUGAAAGCAGGGAGUUUAGGACUUGCUAUGGUUCAAGGUUUUCAAAUUCGCCAUGUCCCUCUAUGUCUUAAUCUUUUAUGUUGUUUUACACAAUGUUAUAACGCCUAUGCCUGUUAAAAAAACAAGGUUUGUCCUUUUUGUGAUUGCUUAAUUUAGAAACUAAGCGAAAAAACGUAUUCUACAAGUAUCAUACAAGUUAAUCAAUAUUAAAGCCUACUAUUAUUAUAAAUUUAAAUGAUUACAUGGUAGUUUUAAUCAGUUAACUUCCAGUGAUAGUUAUGUAUAUCAGAUAUGUGGGUUUUUAUUUAAAAUAAUUUUAGCACACUUGUAAUUCUCUUGUGUUUGAGUAAUUUACUAAUAACUACGAUGCAAUCGAGAUUACUUUUAAAAAAUUUCAAAACUUAUCAAGAACUUUGACAUCAAACUGUUAAAGUACGUGUUAGGGCCGCUUUUACAAACGUCCGUAAACCUUAUAACCGCGAAUAAAUUUCGAAAAAUAGUUGUUUAAAUUUAGCCUUAAGGGACUUAAAAAUUGGACUAUUGUCAAAGGUUACAAGCAAAAUUUUGAUAUUUUUUUGCUUUUCUGAACAGUCUGUAGACAAGUAAUCAAACCAACAAAACUGAUGUAUUUAUACAGACUGAUCCCGAAAUACUGUGUACUGUUAGCAAUCUGAAUUUAAAUUUUAAAGGAUACCAAUAGUGUACACUUUCAGGUAGCAAUUCAAUAAUUUAAUCUGAUGCCAACAUACUCAGUUUCUCUGGAUCAUUGUGUAUAUUUAGACAAUGUAUUUACAUAUAUUAUUACAUCUGAGUAUGUUUAUGAACAACAAUUCGAGUUAAAUUAAUUUUGCCUAUACAUUCCAGCACGUUAUUAUUUUUUUAAUAAAUUUUUAUUGGAAA